AUUCCAGCUCCAAUAGCGUAUACUAAAGUUGUUGCAGUUAAAAAGCUCGUAGUUGGAUUUCUGUUUUUAAAAAUCGGUCGUAACCUCACGGUUUCUGUACCAGGUUUCUUAAAUGCAUCCUCAGGGUUCUGUUAUCUGGUAUUAAUUUAUCGGAUUUCUGGUCCUUGUCAUUUACUGUGAGCAAAAUAGAGUGUUCAAAGCAGGCUUAGGCCAUGAAUACAUUAGCAUGGAAUAAUAAGAUAGGACCUUGGUCUAUUUUGUUGGUUUACAUUCCAAGGUAAUGAUUAAUAGGGAUAGUUGGGGGUAUUCGUAUUCAAUUGUCAGAGGUGAAAUUCUUGGAUUUAUGGAAGACGAACUACUGCGAAAGCAUUUACCAAGGAUGUUUUCAUUG
rnacentral:rRNA from 1 species